GGGGUGAUGAAGGUGUGCACCGGGGAUCCUCCCCAACUCUGCUCUGCUCCUGAAG
rnacentral:ncRNA from 12 species